GAACCGGACGAACGUUAUUCGGGAAUUAUUGGGCUUAAAGGGGUGCGUAGGCGGCUUGGCAAGUUGGAUGUGAAAGCCCUCGGGCUCAACCGAGGAAUAGCGUCCAAAACUGCCAGACUCGAGGGAGACAGAGGCGAGCGGAACUUAGGGUGGAGCGGUGAAAUGCGUUGAUAUCCUAAGGAACACCAGUGGCGAAGGCGGCUCGCUGGGUCUCUUCUGACGCUGAGGCACGAAAGCUAGGGGAGCGAACGGGAUUAGAUACCCCGGUAGUCCUAGCUGUAAACGAUGAGCACUUGGUUGGAGGAUUUUCACUGAUUUUCCGGCCGUAGCGAAAGUGUUAAGUGCUCCGCCUGGGGAGUAUGGUCGCAAAGGCUG
rnacentral:rRNA from 1 species